rnacentral:rRNA from 1 species
GAUGAACGCUGGCGGCGUGCCUAAUACAUGCAAGUCGAGCGAACAGAUAAGGAGCUUGCUCCUUUGACGUUAGCGGCGGACGGGUGAGUAACACGUGGAUAACCUACCUAUAAGACUGGGAUAACUUCGGGAAACCGGAGCUAAUACCGGAUAACAUAUUGAACCGCAUGGUUCACUAGUGAAAGGCGGCUUUGCUGUCACUUAUAGAUGGAUCCGCGCCGUAUUAGCUAGUUGGUAAGGUAACGGCUUACCAAGGCAACGAUACGUAGCCGACCUGAGAGGGUGAUCGGCAAAACGAGAGAGAGCACACAGGCCAUACUCCUAGGGGAGGUAGCAGUAGGGAACCUUACGAGAAGGGAGGGAACCUAGCGGAGCAACGCCACGAGAAAGGUGAAGGUCUUCGGAACGUAAAACUCUGUUAUCAGGGAAGAACGAAUGUGUAAGAAACUGAACACAUCUUGACGGUACCUGAUCAAAAAGCCACGGCUAACUACGUG